UACGGAGGGUGCAAGCGUUAUCCGGAUUCACUGGGUUUAAAGGGUGCGUAGGCGGGCAGUAAGUCCGUGGUGAAAUCUCUGAGCUUAACUCAGAAACUGCCAUGGAUACUAUUUGUCUUGAAUAUUGUGGAGGUAAGCGGAAUAUGUCAUGUAGCGGUGAAAUGCUUAGAUAUGACAUAGAACACCAAUUGCGAAGGCAGCUACUACACAGUUAUUGACGCUAAGGCACGAAAGCGUGGGAUCAAACAGG
rnacentral:rRNA from 1 species